AAUCGAACACAGGGGCGCUGGGUUUCCGGCUGAGAUUGCGCGUCGCGCAGGUCCCUUAUACCUGAUCCGGGUAAUGCCGGCGUAGGAAGCUGAUUCGUCAUAUUCU
rfam:Firmicutes bacterium CAG:170 genomic scaffold, scf268